rnacentral:rRNA from 1 species
CGUGGGUCGGCUUUAGUGAGAGUCUGACGGGCGUAGCGAUACGUCAUUGGCAGACGGGUGAGUAACGCGUGGGAACGUAGCUUUUGGUUCGGAACAACUGAGGGAAACUUCACCUAAUAGCGGAUAAGCCCUGACGGGGAAAGAUUUAUCGCCGAAAGAUCGGCCCGCGUCUGAUUAGCUAGUUGGUGAGGUAAUGGCUCACCAAGGCGACGAUCAGUAUCUGGUCUGAGAGGAUGAUCGGCCACGUUGGGACUGAGACACGGCCCAAACUCCUACGGGAGGCAGCAGUGGGGAAUAUUGGACAAUGGGGGCAACCCUGAUCCAGCCAUGCCGCGUGAGUGAUGAAGGCCCUAGGGUUGUAAAGCUCUUUUGUGCGGGAAGAUAAUGACGGUACCGCAAGAAUAAGCCCCGGCUAACUUCGUGCCAGCAGCCGCGGUAAUACGAAGGGGGCUAGCGUUGCUCGGAAUCACUGGGCGUAAAGGGUGCGUAGGCGGGUUUCUAAGUCAGAGGUGAAAGCCUGGAGCUCAACUCCAGAACUGCCUUUGAUACUGGAAGUCUUGAGUAUGGCAGAGGUGAGUGGAACUGCGAGUGUAGAGGUGAAAUUCGUAGAUAUUCGCAAGAACACCAGUGGCGAAGGCGGCUCACUGGGCCAUUACUGACGCUGAGGCACGAAAGCGUGGGGAGCAAACAGGAUUAGAUACCCUGGUAGUCCACGCCGUAACGAUGAAUGCCAGCCGUUAGUGGGUUUACUCACUAGUGGCGCAGCUAACGCUUUAAGCAUUCCGCCUGGGGAGUACGGUCGCAGAUUAAACUCAAGGAU